GUUCCAAGGCACAGCACAACUAAACACAACCUGCCCGCUUCGCAGACACACGCCGCACACGCGCUCCCUUGGUGAGCACAGCAGAAGCAGCAUUCGGAGACCCGUACACCCGAAAAGCAAACGUCACACACCCGGUUCGCACAGACUACACUCAUUGCCUGUACAGCACGAGAACGGACACACGGUACAAUUCAACAGAAC
rnacentral:lncRNA from 1 species